rnacentral:rRNA from 1 species
UUUGUGUUGUUUGAGGACGCCAACACAGCUUACUUCCAGGCCAUCGCUAAUGGCCGUAGACGACGCUGCUCCAUUCCCCUUUUAUGGGAAAGGUCACAGCUGUCUCAAGACACUCAGACUAUCCGCCUGCUGGUCGACGACUUCUACAAGUAAUUAUUUGCGGGGCGCCCUCGGAGUGGUAUCGCCCUUGCCGAUCAUAUUUGGUCUCUUGACCAGCAAAUCUCCCCGGAGGAGAAUGCGGCCCUGCUCGCCCCAUUUGAUGCCGUGGAGGUGGAGGCCUUUGUCAAAGCCAUGAACCCGGCCUCGGCUCCAGGCCCCGAUGGGUUGCCGGUCCGCUUUUUCCCGGCUUUCUGGCCGAUGAUCAAAGAGAUCAUCCUUGACCUGUUCCGUGAGUUCUCUAGGGGAACAUUAGACAUGUCACGGCUUAACUACGGGAUCAUCUUCCUGAUUCCCAAGGUGCCGGGAGCUGCAGACAUUAGGCAGUUCCGCCCUAUCACAGUCAUCAAUGUGAUAUUUUGGAUUUUGGCGAAGGGGUACGCCACUAGGGCGGCCCUAACCGCUCCCCGGAUUCAUUAG